rnacentral:sRNA from 1 species
AGAUGCUCAUUCCACCUCUUAUGUCUGCUGAUGCUACAUAAACCUGGGAAUGACGCAGAGCCAAUUUUAGGUACCUGUUGUCUGCCUGCCUGUAUCGCGAAAGCCUUACAGGGUUAACAGACACCACGUUGAGUCAGGUACCUCCCG